UACGGGGGGAGCAAGCGUUGUUCGGAUUUACUGGGCGUAAGGGCGCGUCGGCGGCCUCCGCAAGUCGACUGUGAAGUCUCUGGGCUUAACCCAGAACGGUCAGCCGAUACUGCGGGGCUAGAGUGCAGAAGGGGCAACUGGAAUUCUCGGUGUAGCGGUGAAAUGCGUAGAUAUCGAGAGGAACACCUGCGGCGAAGGCGGGUUGCUGGGCUGACACUGACGCUGAGGCGCGAAAGCUAGGGGAGCGAACGGG
rnacentral:rRNA from 1 species